GCGUCUCUCCCGAGCUCAGCAGCUGAAAUGACUCUGUUGAACAUGUGUUGACUUGUGUCCUUCAGCUGUUUUGUCUCCAAGCUCUAUCUGUGUGUAUAUCUACAUAAUGCAAUACAUAUUUAUUUGUUUGAGUUCUUGCUGCCUUUCAAUAGAUGCCAUCUGCCUGUGAACAAAGGUUUUCCUCCAGCAGCCCUCGCUGCCGGAUCGCGGCGCAGCGUCGUCCCGCUCCCGCAGCCAGAGGGGUUUGUGCAGCUCUGCAGGCUUUUCUCAUUCAUUUUGGAUGCUUUGCCAGCGUGUUGUGCACCUGUACAAUGUCAAAUACAUAUUGCCCACAGCAGCAUUUAAUAGGCUUCCUGAUGUCGGUGGAAAGUCAAUAACUCGAGAUCUUAAUUGCGGGACACGUCCGGGUGCUGCCUCACCGACGGUUCUUUCCGCGUCAAAUAACUUCCAGAUAUUUGGAACAAAACCGGGAUAUUGUUUUCUGUAUGACCCCAGGAAACAAACCUAACAUUGUGAGAUGCAGGGCUGUGGAGUAAUGUUCAUUUUUCUGGAGAAGGAGCUCCAAGGGUUCCCAUGUGCAGUGGCAGUGGCCUCUCGGGGCAUCUCCUGCAGAGAUGACAGAACUGGAUGACUGCUGGAUAUGUGCCACACUCACAUUUUGCCACUUUGUCCCCAAGCCAUGUGGUCAAAGGACCAGCUGGACACACAGACCCUGCUGGACACACAACACAUGGCCAUGGAGGGGAACACCCUUUUAUCCACCCCACAGAGGAGUACUCACAGAAGCACAGAGUGGAUCAGGCUGGAAGGGACCCCAGUGGGUCAUGUGGUCCCAUCUCCCUGCUCAAGCAGGGUCUUUCCAGAGCACAUUGCCCAGGAUUGCAUCCAGAUGGUUCUGGAAUACCCCCAGUGAGGGACACUCCACAACCUCUCUUCCCACAGUCUGAUUAAUGAACCUGUUUGUGGGUCUUCACUGGGCAGAGUCAGGUUUCAAGUGAUGCAUCUCAGCUGCACUUCUGGAGAAAUUCAGGAUUUUGUUCUCUCCCCUGAUUUCCCAAAGCUGACACGACACCACAGCUGACAUUUGUGGGGUGAUCACAGAGAGCACUUGGAUAACACCCACUGCAGCAGGAGCUGCACUCACCUGCUGCCAGGUGCAGGUGGCAAAGCCCAGGAAAAGGCAAAGUGAAAUGGGAGGAAACCAGAAGGGAAAAUCUCUCUCUUUGGAAGUCCAUCACUGAAAUGCUGAGGCUAAGCAACUUCUCCGAGUUAGUUGUUAAUAAUCUACAAAUGACAAUUAAUUGACAACUGCUGGCAGCUCUCUGGGAAAAGGAUAUUAUUUAGGAUGAGAACCAAAGAUGAGAAAUCCCAAAGCUUAAACAAAAUGGUUUCUUUUCAAGUCCUGUGCAUUCAACUAAUGUGUGUGGAAGGACACACCCUCUUGUUCCUGCCAUGCUCUUGCUGGCUGACCUCUGUAUUUAGAGCAAGAAGGCCCCAAAUCCCUUUCCCAACCUGGAGAAGGUGAUGGCUUCACUCUGCAAGGGCUGGUGGUGAAAAGAAGUGAGGAAAUUAUUCCAAAGCACCCAGGUGAGGAUCAAAAUCUCCAGGCUGGAGGUAAGGGCAACCUAUACCUGUUAAAAUAAGGAGGUUUUGUUUGACUUUUGUUUUUAGCUUCUGUGGACAGAUUUGUCUGUACAUGUAUUUUGCACAGGAAAAUAAACCCCUCCUCCAUGUAUUUAUGAGGCAAAUGUCCAUUUUAAUCACAAUGGAAGAUUUUGCAGCAUGACAUUUUCCAGUGACUCUGUUGCUGUGACCCCACUCUCCUGGACUGGUAACAACUCUGGAAUGCUCCUUGGGACUGACAGAUGGAUUCUGCUCCCUGAUGCCACUGGAGGUCUGGCAUGAAGUCUGGAAUAGCAGUUCCACCAGCCUAUGAUGUCGUUGUUUUCCAGCUGUGCAAAGGUGGUGAGUGUCUGUAGAUCACUUUCUUACAUAAGAAUUAGCAAAAUUCCUGUGUUAUAUGUAGAGCUUUGUAACCUGACUUUGCAGGGUUUGCUGCAUACAAGGAAUGAAAAAUCUGAGUUUGGAAAGUAAUACAGUAACAAUUGCAAUUAACCUCCACAACCCUCCAGGUAACCCCGGGGUGUUGAGCUUUAAUCACAUUGCUUUUAAUUAAGUUUAGUGGCCAAAUACUGUUUUUCCUAAAACAUUCUACUGCAUUUCUUCUGCAACAAAAUGCUUUAAAGCCUGAAUGUUGGUGCCAGCUUGACCCCGUGUCAGCUACUGCCAAGAGGUACCGACACAGGGAAAGGAAAUCCAGGUUGAAAAAGCAGUUUCUGAGCAGCCUUUUUGGACCUGUUUAAAGAAAAGGAAGAUUCCAGCGUGGUUCCCCUGCCUGACCCAGAUGAGAUCAGGCUUUGCCAGCCCUCAAAGCAAAUCCUCAAAGCAGAAACGAUGAACUUUCCUCCACAGAACUUUCCCUCCACUUUCCAGAAAGUCCAUUAACAUCAAGUUUACUGUAGCCUUAAAUAAAACAUUAAAAACUCUCCCUCAGCAAUACUCCCUGCGGGAAAGAAGAAAACUCCUCUCCAGGUAACUCUCCACCCCCUGCUCUGCCGGGACUGCAGGAGGGGAAGUGCCAGCUGGGCUCACACCCUCUCCUCAUCCAAGAGGAACCAGCUCCUGGCUGGGCACUGGAUGGCACAGGGAACGUGUCACUGAGCCAGGAAUUGGAGUUACACUUCUGGAAAUGCCAGUGCUCUGACCUUUGCAAAUUGGGAUGGGCUGCUCCUUUGAUUUAGUGCUUGUCUUGCUUCCGAGGCUCAGCUGGUUCUCUGCUCUCGCUGUGCUCACUGCCUUCAUCUGAUGGCUCUGGACAAGUGUCAAAGACACCACACACUGCCAAGGGUUAGUGCUGAAGUGCUUAAUUAAACAAGCCUCUGGGCUGUGGCAAUUUGCAUGGUAGAAGCAUCACAGCAGGGUUCUUUUCCUUUUUUUUUUUUUUAUUUCUUCUAAAGUUAGGAUUGGGAACUGGUUAAAAAAAUAAUGUGAGAUUUUGUUGGGGGUUUUGUGGGUUUUUUUGGUUUGUUUGGGUUUGGUUUCUUUUUGU